CAGUAGCCGCGGUAAUACGUAGGGUCCGAGCGUUGUCCGGAAUUAUUGGGCGUAAAGGGCUCGUAGGCGGUUUGUUGCGUCGGGAGUGAAAACCCAGGGCUUAACUUUGGGCUUGCUUUCGAUACGGGCAGACUUGAGGCAUUGAGGGGAGAACGGAAUUCCUGGUGUAGCGGUGAAAUGCGCAGAUAUCAGGAGGAACACCGGUGGCGAAGGCGGUUCUCUGGCAAUGUUCUGACGCUGAGGAGCGAAAGUGUGGGGAGCGAACAGGAUUAGAGACCCCUGUAGUCCCUGUCUCUUAUAA
rnacentral:rRNA from 1 species